rnacentral:rRNA from 1 species
CGUAGGGUGCAAGCGUUAAUCGGAAUUACUGGGCGUAAAGCGUGCGCAGGCGGUUAUGCAAGACAGAGGUGAAAUCCCCGGGCUCAACCUGGGAACUGCCUUUGUGACUGCAUAGCUAGAGUACGGUAGAGGGGGAUGGAAUUCCGCGUGUAGCAGUGAAAUGCGUAGAUAUGCGGAGGAACACCGAUGGCGAAGGCAAUCCCCUGGACCUGUACUGACGCUCAUGCACGAAAGCGUGGGGAGCAAACAGGAUUAGAUACCCUGGUAGUCCACGCCCUAAACGAUGUCAACUGGUUGUUGGGAGGGUUUCUUCUCAGUAACGUAGCUAACGCGUGAAGUUGACCGCCUGGGGAGUACGGCCGCAAGGUUG